GCCCUGAGUCCUCGCGCCUAACCACCACGGUUAAGGAUUCUGAUACGUUACCAAACCGCCAUCCAGAAAGGAAUUGCAAUUUGGACUUCUACAAGAAAUCAGAAACAGUAAAGAACAGCCUCGCUGCCUGCAGGGAUGAGUGAGGCCCUGAAGUCCAGAGCUUUGCUGAGUCGCUACUUGGGAGAGUAAACCUCCAAUGGUCUGCCAGUGCAGUGCGCAUAGCAACCUGAAUCACUGUAAAUCAUAUUUGCAAGGCGGAUGGGUUAAUCGGUUGAAAGCUGAGCCCAGAAGAUGAGGGAAAACUCCAUUGUGGGCAGGCUACUCACUUCUCAAGCCGGUGCUGACUCAGACUGAAGGAUUCCAGAGAUCCUGUGAUGGUGAGGCCACUUGGAGCUUGCCAUGCGGGGGACUCCCACCAUCAAGCAUCUGCCAACGAAGAGCCCACCUGGACCUUGGCAAACUGUGUCCUCUCUUCCCAAAAUGCACCUUUUGGACAUACCUUGUAGAAACUGGUUUAUCUGGAGCUCCGUCACUUGUGCUACUGCCUGGGUAGAGGGAGAGACCACAGGAAAGGCUGUGGCUGUGCCGGGCAGGGAGACCUCACAGCUAUUAUGCUCCAUGGAACAGCCCUGACGCUGCCAUCCUGCACGGAUGUUCUGUUUAGUCAAGACUGGCUGUCCCUGAAGUGGGGAAUUAUUAUUGUAACAUGUGUUUGGUGGAAGGGUGAUGUCGGGAGACGAUGAAAGGGGAGAGGCAUCUUAUUUCUGUUGGGGUGGGUUCGAGCUGGUAGGAGCUUCUGUCACUCUCCUCUGCUCUAUCUCUUUGCCCCUGGCAUCCAUAUGGGUCCUCUGAGGAUUCUAAGAGAAGCCAUGAAAGGUUAAGGGCAGGCUGCUCUAAACACGCCCCUUGAGGUUAUCCGAUGGCCUAAAUCGUACCCUAUGGGAUUGGAAAGGUGCGCUAUUGUUGGUGGGGUCAUCUGAAGGCUGCCCCUUCAAGCCCAGGGUAGCUGUGCUGCUAGCUCAGAGUUAAAACGAGCUUGGGAGCAGACAUAGGAAGCCAUUGUCCUGUUGGAUUUUCCAGCCCGUUAAGAAGCCUGGCCUGUAACCUUGAAGACAGGAUGUGACCCCCCACAUAAGUUCCUCACCUUGAUGACCCACAUGUAUCCAUGGGUCCAUCACAGUGCUCUUCUUUUCAGAGCUCAUCUCUCACUGGGGCUGAGAAUGAAUGAGUUGGUCUUUGAAAGUGUUCUCACCAUAGCCACCUAGGACGAAUGUCGUAUCUCCUGCUCAGCACCUCUCUGGCACUUCCCCUGAAUCUCUGUAGGACAAAAGGCAGGAAUCCACUUGCCUAGGCAUGUUAAACCCCAGGCUCUGUGCAUCUACAUUAGGAGAAUGCCAGGCUGCCCCAGAGAGUAUCCUGCUGGUUGUAAAAGAGGAAUUUGCUGUUGAAGUCACAGUUUGUAAUCUUGAUGUUCACGCCAGCCUCUGAGGGUUUGUCUGCCUUGAAGGUUGUCAGGACAAGGCACUUUGGAUGGCAGCUCGAACAUUAGACACUACUGCUGGAAUUUGCUUCAGACCUCUGUUUUCUUUCCCAAUGCCACGGGGCACCGGGUACCCAAACACCUCUCUUCCCCUAAACAGGUUUCAUAACAAGGCUGUUUUUCCAGUGUCUAUCACUUCGAAUAUUUCACUCUGUUGGGAUUAUCGGAGUCUUUGUGCAUCCUUACGUCACAGGAUGUUCUCUGGAUGGUAGAGGCGUGUUCCGCAGUGAGGUUGCAAUGGGUGGACAUUACCGCUGCUGGGUUAUCAUUACCGCUGCUGGGUUAUCUUUGUUGAGGACCUUCAGAAGCAUAGCUGCCCGUGUGGGGUUCUCUCUCCCUCCUUCCCUCCCCCCCCUCAGAUAUGACUGAGGGGCCCUGCAGCUUGUCAGAUCUGGUGGGCCUCAGAGUCAAGGCACGAGGUGGGGGUGGGGUGGGGGGGUCAGCUUAAGUUUGAGAAAGGCGUGAACUUGUUUCAAGUCACCUCAGGUGAGAGCCGAAAAUUCACCUGGUGAAUUUAUGUUUAUAAUGGAAAUAAACACACUGCUAGACCAAAAAAAAUUUUUUUAAAAAAUAAUUUUCAAAGGAAAAAGUGAUUAGAAGAAAAUAAAAAAGUAUAAAAGAUUAAAACUAGGGAGAGCUAAGAGGAGCAAGGAACCAGACCCAGCCAGGACUCGCAGGUGUUUGGGAUUGUAAAAUGACAACUUCAAAUAAAGCCACUUACAUGGUAA